GGCGUUUACUGCAUAGCUGAACAUUUUACGGACUUGACUCUUGAUGCUCUUUACCGAGUGUCUUGAGCGAUCCGUACGUUUACUUUGAAAAAAUUAGAGUGCUUAAAGCAGGCUACUCGCCCGAAUAAUCUUGCAUGGAAUAAUAGAAUAGGACUUCGGUUCUUUUUGUUGGUUAUUGAAUCGGAGUAAUGAUUAAUAGGGAUAAUCUCGGGGGCAUUCGUAUUUCUGCGGGAGAGGUGAAAUUCUAUGAUCGCAGAAGGACGCCCUAAAGCGAAAGCAUUUGCCAAGAAUGUCUUCGUUAAUCAAGAACGAAAGUCAGAGGAUCGAAGGCGAUUAGAUACCGCCCUAGUUCUGACCGUAAACGAUACCAUCUAGCGAUCCGAUAGGGUCUAUCUAGCCUUGUCGGGGAGCUUCCCGGAAACGAAAGUCUUUCGGUUCCGGGGGUAGUAUGGUUGCAAAGCUGAAACUUAAAGAAAUUGACGGAAGGGCACCACCAGGAGUGGAGCCUGCGGCUUAAUUUGACUCAACACGGGAAAACUCACCCGGUCCGGACACCGUAAGGAUUGACAGACUGAUAGCUCUUUCUUGAUUCGGUGGUUGGUGGUGCAUGGCCGUUCUUAGUUGGUGGAGUAAUUUGUCUGGUUUAUUCCGAUAACGAGCGAGACUCUAGCCUGCUAAAUAGAACGAGGAUAAACCUUUUCAUAGGUCCUCGAUGCUUCUUAGAGGAAUUAGCGG
rnacentral:rRNA from 1 species